rnacentral:rRNA from 1 species
GACGAACGCUGGCGGCGUGCUUAAUACAUGCAAGUCGAACGGAAAGGCCCUGCUUUUGUGGGGUGCUCGAGUGGCGAACGGGUGAGUAACACGCGAGUAACCUGCCCUUGACUUUCGGAUAACUCUAGGAAACUGGGGAUAAUACCGGAUAGGAUCUCUUGCUGCACGUGGGGGGAUGGUAAGUUUCGGCGGUUGGGGAUGGACUCGCGGCUUAUCCGCUUGUUGGUGGGGUAGUGGCUUACCAAGGUUUUGACGGGUAGCCGGCCUGAGAGGGGUGCCGGGCACAUGGGGACUGAGAGACGGCGCAGACUCCUACGGGAGGCAGCAGUGGGGAGUAUUGCAGAAAGGGCGGAAGCCUGAUGCAGAAACGCCGCGUGCGGGAUGACGGCCUUCGGGUUGUAAACCGCUUUCGACUGUGACGAAGCGUGAGUGACGGUAAUGGGUAAAGAAGCACCGGCUAACUACGUG